rnacentral:lncRNA from 1 species
CCUUGAUUGAUUGUGAUGAGGAUUCCUUACUUGUUUGAAUUGAUCUUCAAUUAGGAGAGUAUUAAAGAUGGGAUUUGGCAAUUAUUAAUGUCUUUGACUUUUCUUCCUUGCCACGAGCAGUGGAGCUUGGUGGUGUCAUAGUCUGCUGCAAUGUUUCCAGGGAUGUUGGACUACGCAUGUGAAUAUUUAUAGGCCCUGCCCAUUUAUUGAGUGCAUUCUUGUCUUAUUCGAAAAAAAGUCGACAUGUCAUUUCUAGGAUUUUUGGAAAUAUUUUUUGCUCCACAUCCUGAUCUAAGGGAAAAAGAUUACAUUAAGGUCAAGUGCGUAUACUUCUGGAUACUCCCCUUGAGUUUGACAAAACCUCCAUAUGAGAACUACAAGCAUUGCAAAUGAGAUAAUUUACGCAUAACAAUUCCUUAGACAAGCUUCUGGAAGGUUGACCUCGGAAGUGACUUCGUGAAGAGGUUAGCAAAGUUAUCAUGGGAUCAGACUUGCUUGACUUCAAUCUUCACUAAGGUCUAUAUCGUGGACCUACAAACGAGUUUGAUAAGUAACCAGUGACACCAUAACAAACAAGGCAAGCAUCAUUGUGAGGAUCAGAUGAUUGAAUCCGCUCGAGAUGCGUAGUGAUAAGCCCAAGUCCAUUGUACCUUCAAAGUAACAAAAAUACUUCUUUAAUGCCAAUUCAGUGGUUGUGUGUAGACGCAUUGCUGUAUCUUUACCAAUAGAUCAACAACGAAGGAGGUAUCCUGCAUAACGAAAUGAACUAAGUACAACAAAUUGCAAACUUGAACUUAGAUAUGGAACUUCGGGUUCCACAACCUAUUCAAGGUCUCAUUUGCAUGUAGCAUAUGGAGUGACAGAGGGCUGCACUCUACACAUAAUUAAAAUGUAAUACUCUCCUAAAUUGAAGAUCAUUAAAUUCUCCUUUGCGCAGCGUUAAGAGUAUACUGAUAACAUGUUGUAGUAUGAAUUUAGUGAGGGAAAAGUGAUGGAGAAAACCACUGGCAAAGGGAAGAGAGAAAAAGGCUUGAGAAAUUCUAUGUGUCAUAUUCCUCGUGCUUUAUUCCUUUAUUUAUACUAAUAAGGGAGAGAGUAUCCUUACUCUCCAAGUAAUUAAUGCAAUUAAAAAUAGAAAACUAUCUAAAAAAUAUUAUAAAUGUACACAUAAUCUACUAGUGUAAAUUAAAAUAGGAUUGCAACAAUAACAUAAUACUAGCAUAAAUUAAGAAAACAAAAAAAAAUUAUAACACGAACCUAAACACUGGACAUGAUCAUGACUUUUUUUUUUUUUUUUUUUUUUAAAGUAAUAAGUAUUUCAUUAAUCAAAUAAAACAAAUGACAUCAAUCAUCAUGAAUACUAUUCUAUGAUUACAAAAGUAACACAAUAUUAGUAUACAACUUACCCCACAUAACCACCUUUAACCAAACAGAAAGAUAACAUUCAGGAGGAUAAAACCUUGAAUCACUUUCUGACGAACUUGUAAAAGACGACACUCCUUCAAUAAAGAAGCUCUGCUAUGAGACAUCAUAAAGAUGUCCCCAUAAUUUUUUUUUUCAGGCAACUGAACAACAAAACCACAACCACAAAAAAAAAAAAAAAUGACACAACAAAAGAUAAACUCGGCAAAGGUACGAUAUCGUGAGAGACCCACACCUAACCAACAAGAAGAUAAGAUCACAAGGCCUAAGCCCUAUGAGUUGGACCUAAUAGCAUCAAGACACACAAGGUAAACAUCGUAGUAUCACAUAAAGACUUUGCAACGACAAGAAAACAUGAUUGUGAAUCCCUCGAACUACUGCAACGAUCCCAUGAAGGAAAGACCGCACCAUAAUUUGAUGAUCUUGAAUUGUUGGCAAAAAAAUCUUGCUAUGAGCUACCUCCAACAAACAUCAAGCUUCCUCCGCAUAAUCUUUGCCAAGUGCACAAACCACAAAAUCACCACCUUAGAUUUGAACAACAAUUGUUGAUUUAAGAUCCGGGUUUGAGAAAUAAGUCAUAACCGCCACAAAAACUUUGCUCGUAAAAAAAGAGAGUGACCACAACCACAACCAAAAGCUCUAAUCGACAAAGCGAGUGAGACCACUACCAAAAACAGGAAAAGAAAGAGAAGGGAUCAAGAAGGAUUCCUAUAAAUUCAUCAUCUCCACCAAUUUUUGGUAAGCUUUGGCUACGCAAAUAAGCCUGAACACUCAUUCUUUUAGAGGAAUUGAAUUAGGCAACGGAUGUCCAUUAGCCAAACCACUCCCCACACCUCGUGGACGUGUGAAGUUUUGACCUUGAUUAAAUGUGUUUUUUUGUUUUGUAGGUACAAUUUCUAUGUACAUAAUAUAUAACUUUAUACUAUAAUAGUUUUAUAUUAUGAAAAUAGAAAUUCACACAACAAAAAGUUAUUCAUUAUGAAGAUAGGAAUUAUAAAAGAUAUUCUUGUUGCAGUCAUAUUUAGAAUAGGAAUGUGAUUGUGUAAAUCCUAAGGAAUCUGGGAAAGUAUCUUAUAUUCCUAUUAGGAUUAGAUUACCUAUUAAAUAUUGUAAUCCUAAAGGGAAAGGUUUUACCCUUCCUACUACUAUAAAUAAAGGCACAAUGGGGUGAAUCAAACACACCUCACAAUUAAAUCAAUCUCUCUUCUCUCUAAUAGUGGUCGGCCCCCUCUCUCUCUCUAAACCCUAGAUCGUUCAAUCAAAUAGGCCUACAACACAUUAUCAGAACGCUCUUGCCAGAAGCUGAGGAAUUGAAGCAUCGUUGGAGGAGGCUAUCAUCCACCAAAUUCAAAGGCUUAUUCGUUUUCUGCUAAUCAGGUACGCUUAAAAUAAAAGAAGAUAUUUGAAAUGUCCACGAAGCAUGAAAACAUUCCCCAUGAUGCAUGAACCUCUCUAUGUUUAUAUUUUCCUUUCGAUAUAUGUGUAUAUAUAUAUAUAUAUUGUAUAUGUUCAUAUAUUUGUCAAUAUAUAUAUAUAUAUAUAUUUGUUUCAUGCAUCGCACAAUUAAAUUGUUAUGUGGAAUUUGUGAGUCAAAUUAUAUAAAAUAAAUUAGAAGCAUAUUUAGGAUUUUCCUAAACCCUAUGGGAUUUUGAAAAAAAAGGGAAAUUGGACAUAAUUUGGCACCACCCUUGAGGCACAACACCAAGCCUUCGACCUGCUUGACUGGAAUAGACC